rnacentral:rRNA from 1 species
CCUGCCCAAGAGAUCGGGAUAACACCUGGAAACAGAUGCUAAUACCGGAUAACAACAGAUGAUGCCUAUCAGCUGUUUAAAAGAUGGUUCUGCUAUCACUCUUGGAUGGACCUGCGGUGCAUUAGCUAGUUGGUAGGGUAACGGCCUACCAAGGCGAUGAUGCAUAGCCGAGUUGAGAGACUGAUCGGCCACAUUGGGACUGAGACACGGCCCAAACUCCUACGGGAGGCAGCAGGA